rnacentral:lncRNA from 1 species
ACUGUUCAAAACAAUUUUUCAAACACUAAUCUUGGUACAAUAAGCAAGCAACUUGAUAGGAUUGAAAAGUCAAUCCAAAAUCAAAACCCCAUUCCAAUGGAGUCUCCUUCUGAAAAGAAAAGCAAAAGUCCCAUGUUUAAACAUUUCCAAAUUUCCAAUUCAAGUGUCAAAACUUACCAAGACACAAACCUUGAAUUCAUUCGUGCCCUCCAAAGUCAAUUAAGUAAAGCUGAAAUAGGAGAUAGUAGCAUGCCACAUAUUUCUGAUAUCCCCAAUACUCCUACUUCCAAAAUCCAAAUAAACACUAUAGCCAAUGAUUCAGACAUUAGUGAAUGUUCUGAUCAAAAUUCUGUCCCAAAAAUAAACCGUCUUGAUUGGCAAAACCAUCUAGAUCGUCAAUUAAUCCCAGCCCGUUAUCUAGGACAAAUCCAACCAGUAGAGCAAUCUCGGUUUAACUCAUAAUCAGUCUAUGACUGGAAUAUUGAUGGUAUAUCUGAAAAUAACAUUUUAAGUUUCCUUCUAAAAAUGACAAUGGCCGCAAACGCCUAUAGAACCCAAAUAGGAAAUGAGGAUAAAACCGUAGCUGAAUUCCUCAUAGCUGGCUUUUCGGGACAGCUUAAAGGAUGGUGGGAUAAUUACCUAACCAAUCAGCAACGAGCAGAAAUCCUAGAUUCAAUUAAAACGGAUGAAGAUAAUGUACCAAUCCUAGAUAAUCUCGGAAAUCCUCAACAAGAUGUUGUUGCUACUUUAGUCAUAGCCAUAACCUUGCAUUUUAUAGGAGAUCCCUCGGUCCUUAGAGAUAAAAAUGCUGAA